UGGGGAAUAUUGCGCAAUGGGGGCAACCCUGACGCAGCAACGCCGCGUGCGGGAAGAAGGCGUCCGCGUCGUAAACCGCUUUCAGCAGGGAAGACAUCGACGGUACCUGCAGAAGAAGCCCCGGCUAACUACGUGCCAGCAGCCGCGGUAACACGUAGGGGGCGAGCGUUAUCCGGAUUCAUUGGGCGUAAAGCGCGCGCAGGCGGCCGCUCAAGCGGGACCUCUAAUCCCGGGGCUCAACCCCGGGCCGGGUCCCGAACUGGGCGGCUCGGGUGCGGUAGGGGGAGGCGGAAUUCCCGGUGUAGCGGUGGAAUGCGCAGAUAUCGGGAAGAACACCGACGGCGAAGGCAGCCUCCUGGGCCGACACCGACGCUGAGGCGCGAAAGCCGGGGGAGCGAACAGG
rnacentral:rRNA from 2 species